CUCAAAGUGCCAACACGAAAAUUAAACCCGAAUACUGAGGUUUAAGUUUAGAAAAAACAACUCGUACAGUUGUCCGAAUUAACAACUUUUGUUUUAAAAGAAGACAACAACAGAGAAUACAUACACACACACACACAGUCUGCUGAAUACAUACACACACACACACAGUCCGCUGAAUACACACACUGCUGAAUACAUACACACACACACAGACGGCUGUACACACGCACACAGACUGCAUUGAGGGAUGCAG